GUCCAGGGAUGGGAAUCAAACCCACAGUGUUUCUCUUAUCGGGCAAAUGCCAUGUUUAUUAGGCUACCCUGAA